rnacentral:tRNA from 1 species
GGCUGUUCGGUAAAGCAUCUGUCUACAAUGCAGAAGACCCGGGUUCGAUCCCUGG